ACUGUCAUGUUCACACCGCCCCAACAAACACCAACAAACGAGUGACGUCUGACUGGGAAAAUUCCACAACUACACACGUGUAACCAUGUUAACAAUAUUGUCAGGCAAGUUUAUUAUAUUAAUAAUGUAUCCUAGUAUCAUAUAUAUUUUCAUUGUAUUAAAGUAUUGAGGCAAAACAAAAAUACUAACCUGAAAUCCGAAGCGCUGUAGCCAUAGAUCUGAUCGUAGCCUAACCUAUUGGUUGGUAUACACUGGUUUUUAAACUUUUUUUAGCGCGACCCUUUUUAUUAACGAGACCCAUAAGCAUAUAAAACCAUGUAGCUAAACAAGCCAAAACGAAUUAUUAAAAAAACGAAACUGAAGGUAAACCUGCGUUGCUCUCAUGGUGGUUAUAACGUCGUUACCUCUAUCUUUCGGUGAAGUGGAGCAGCUGCUCUUGCUGAAUGGCACGGAUUGCACUAUGGACUAUUGUACCUUUUGUAUAUUUUUAUUUUUAACUGUAUUUUAUUUUUUAUAACGAGCAAGCUGCGAUGUCACGUUUCCAGUACUUUGUUGUGUGUGCGUGAGGCGCGGGCGCGAUCAAACAGCUGUCUAUUCAGGGGACUUGCCUCAUCGUCAUGGCAACGGUUCGUGAUCAGGUCAGAUUACGUGUUUGUACGAGUUUGUUGCCGUUUGUUGGAAAACUGCUCACACCGCGCAGACAUUCCACGACCCGACAAACGCCGAUUAAACAUGUUCAGUCGGGUGAAAACCGACUCCGACCAACGCCAACAAACGCCAACAGGGUUAUCACACCGAUCCAACAAACUCCAACAGACGAGUUUGUUGGCGUUUGUUGGCUGUUGUCGGGGCGGUGUGAAUUGGCCUUAAGACAUAAUUGUACACCAUUGUCAUGGUUACUAAAGCAUGUCAAAAGGUUACUAAGCACUUUGUUACUAAGCACUUUUUUUUAUUCUGAAUGUAUGGUAUUUUGUUUACUAUUUGUACUGUCAUGACAGCGAUGGUGCUGUCAGUUUACCUUGUUGUUGCAUCUUCAAAAGUGCAGAAUAAAAUGUGACACUGAAUUUGAAA